rnacentral:rRNA from 1 species
UACGUAGGGGGCUAGCGUUGUCCGGAAUCAUUGGGCGUAAAGAGCGCGUAGGCGGCCAGAUAAGUCCGGUGUGAAAGUCAAAGGCUCAACCUUUGAAUGCCGCUGGAAACUGUCUGGCUAGAGUCCGGGAGGGGCGAGUGGAAUUCCUGGUGUAGCGGUGAAAUGCGCAGAUAUCAGGAGGAACACCGGUGGCGAAGGCGGGUCUCUGGGCCGAUACUGACGCUGGAGGAGCGAAAGCCGUUGGGGAGCGAACAGG